AUGGUCUUCAUCUCUCUCAAGCUAAGUAUGCUGCAGAUCUGGUUAAAAAGGCUGGUUUACAGAAUUGCAAACCUGCUCCCACUCCUUUGUCUAGCACAGAAAAACUAUCUCUAGUUGAAGGAGAACCUCUGAGCUCAGAUGACAGUACAAAGUAUAGAAGUUUAGUAGGGGCACUUCAGUAUUUGACACUCACUAGACCAGAUAUCUCAUUUGCUGUUAACAAAGUCUGUCAAUUUCUUCAUGCUCCUACUACAGUUCACUUCACUGCUGCAAAACGUAUAGUAAGAUAUGUGAAAAAUACUUUCAGCAUUGGCCUAAAUUUCAGCAAGUCACCCUCUACACUUGUCAGUGCCUUUUCUGACUCAGACUGGGCAGGAUGUCUAGAUGAUAGGCGUUCAACUGGUGGCUUUGCAGUUUUCUUUGGACCUAACCUAAUAUCUUGGUGUGCAAGAAAGCAAGCUAUUGUCUCUAGAUCCAGCACAGAAGCAAAAUACAAGGCACUUGCCAAUGCAACAACAAAGAUCAUAUGGGUACAAUCCAUUUUGAAGGAACUAGGUAUGAAGAAUACUAAAGCACCAUGUUUAUGGUGUGAUAACCUUGGUGCCACCUAUUUGUCUGCAAAUCCAGUCUUUCAUGCUAGAACAAAGCACAUUGAGAUAGACUUCCAUUUUGUUCGAGAAAGAGUUGCAAACAAACUCUUGGAUAUUCGGUUCAUACACUCUAAGGACCAAGUAGCAGAUGGGUUUACCAAGGCUCUACCUUCGAGAAGUUUUGAAGACUUCAAACAUAAUCUCAACUUGAUGAAGUUGUGAUUAAGGGAGGGUGUUAAACAAUGUACAACAAGGAGAUAUCCUCAACCGAAGCUAGGAGUAGUUAGACAAGAUAGAUACUCAUGUAACUCUUUAUCUUUCCUAUCUCUUGUUUACUUCUUCCUCAAGCUAUAUCUGUAGCAACAACUUGUACGUGUGUUUGGGCUCGCAACCCCUCUAUAUAAACACGUAACGCGUCGGCCAAGAUGGCUAAGACGUUUCCGUCAUCUCGCACAAUAUUGAUACAAGCAUAGUUUGCCGCACAUGCCUUACUGAGUUAUCCACGAAGGUACGGUGAUGGUACACAAGUUGACCGCUCCAUCUAGCCACUUGGACUAUAGUAAGUUUCUCUGACUUCAACUGCCCAUGGGAUGAUGCACAUUAUAUAUGCACACAUUUGGUGCCUAUGGUUCUCGACUUCUUGUGCAUCGUCAAGCCAACUGCUCCUGAUUCCUGAAGCAGUAAAAAGAGCAAGCUUUGGGAUUGACAACAAUGGCUACGACACCACCAGUUGGCUCUCCGCUCUCUGCCUCACCUGCUGCUCAAAGCACCCCCGACCCUGGCCUUGCCACUGGUGUCUCUGCUAAAGGCACCCCCACGCCUGGCCCUUUCAGUGAUGGUGGUGUUGCUGCUGCUCAAAGCAAGCCCGAAGUUCCUGGCGAUCACCCUAUCAGCCACGAUUCAGUUCCCAGGCCUCCCGUCUCCAACGCAUAAAUUCUUGUUCUGCCUCGGAAGUCCUACCUAUUGUUGUGCAAGUUAAACUGUAAUACGUUUGUUCCCUCUUGUUCAGUAUACACUGUGAACCCAAAAAUGGAUCUGGUGAAAUUGGUAACUGCUGCACUUGUUCUUAUAGCUAAUGUUGUAAGCAUGGAAAUAUGUCUCGAAUACAUGCAUCUGGUCAA